GAUGAACGCUGGCGGCGUGCUUAACACAUGCAAGUCGAACGGUGAAGCUCCAGCUUGCUGGAGUGGAUCAGUGGCGAACGGGUGAGUAACACGUGAGCAACCUGCCCCUGACUCUGGGAUAACAGCCGGAAACGGCUGCUAAUACCGGAUAUGCACCAUGAACGCAUGUUCUGUGGUGGGAAAGAUUUUUCGGUUGGGGAUGGGCUCGCGGCCUAUCAGCUUGUUGGUGAGGUAAUGGCUCACCAAGGCGUCGACGGGUAGCCGGCCUGAGAGGGUGACCGGCCACACUGGGACUGAGACACGGCCCAGACUCCUACGGGAGGCAGCAGUGGGGAAUAUUGCACAAUGGGCGAAAGCCUGAUGCAGCAACGCCGCGUGAGGGAUGACGGCCUUCGGGUUGUAAACCUCUUUUAGCAGGGAAGAAGCGAGAGUGACGGUACCCGCAGAAAAAGCGCCGGCUAACUACGUG
rnacentral:rRNA from 1 species